UAAAAAGAUGAACAGGUCUAGGCUAUGCCCUCAAGUUCCAACAGUGUCUUAGGAAUGAGAGUGGGAAACAGUAAUGAUCCAAUGUUCAGGGUAUCUGGAAGCCAAGGAAAAUGUAUGACCUGACCUUGCCAAAGUCUCUGGGUAGAGAAGAGGGCUGGUAAGCCUUCAUAGUGCUUUCUAAACUAUACAAAUAACUUCUAUUAAUUCACUGAUAGCAUCAUAAGAUCAAUUGAAGUUCAUUUUUUCAGUUCCUGUUCAAAACCACCUUAAUACGACAAAUAUUUAGAAAUACUGACUCAUAAAGAAAUAUGAAGUGGAAUUAAAAAUAACAAUAAUAAACCAACAUUUAUUAAUUCAGGUACCAGUCUAAGCUCUUUACGUGUAGUAACUCCUUUAGUUCUCACUAGAACUGUAAGAGAUGAGUAGUAAUACUAUUUCCAUUUUACAGACUAAAAAAUUGAGUCAUAGAAUGAUACAGAUGGCCAAGUAACACUUAUUGUCUAUAAUGUACCUGAUACUAAGAUUAAAGCAAGGAGUAGAGAGAAAUGAAAGUUUUAAUUAGAGUAAAACUUGGGUCUUUGUGGGUAAGUGAACGAGUCGGUAGAUACUUUCUGAGGGCCUUUCAAUGUCACACCCUGAAAAUCCUUCUUUACUUUGUUUCAUAUGUUGUGAAGUAAGGAAAAGCAAGAGAUGAGAAAAGGAGGAAAGUAGACUAAGGCCACCAGGGCUUUUGGGAGAUAACUCCAACCGUUAAUACCAAAGAACCCGCACUCAGGAGGUAAACAAGAAACAUUUGUGGAACAAAGUAUAUGAAGGAAAUAAGUUGUGGAGGAAAAAUAAAAAGCUCAUUCAGAGAUGGAAAAAUAUUGACCAGAAAAGAAAGCAAAAGCAAGUUCACAAAUGGCCAACUCUCAGUCACACUCCGAUUCUCGGCUUAGAAGUUUUCAACUCUAAAAGCUCUCUAUGGGCGCUCGUGUUCCCAGAGCACUGUGUAUUUUCUGACAAUAUCACCAUGACUCUACACUGGAAGUACCUGUUUAUGUGUUAGCAUCCUUGAGCUUCUGGAUGGUGGAGACUGCUGUGGUGUUGCUCUUUGCUGUAAGUUGGGCUCCUUAGACGCACAGCCUAAGAUGAAAGUUCUUAUCAUGUGAUUUAUUGAGAGCGUACUUUCAGGUGAGACCUGUGGAAUGAGGGAAACAGUAUAGGGUAAGCUG
rnacentral:lncRNA from 1 species